rnacentral:rRNA from 1 species
CCUACGGGUGGCAGCAGUGGGGAAUAUUGGACAAUGGGGGGAACCCUGAUCCAGCCAUGCCGCGUGUGUGAAGAAGGCCCUCGGGUUGUAAAGCACUUUCAGUGAGGAAGAACGCCUGGUGGUUAAUACCCAUCAGGAAAGACAUCACUCACAGAAGAAGCACCGGCUAACUCCGUGCCAGCAGCCGCGGUAAUACGGAGGGUGCGAGCGUUAAUCGGAAUUACUGGGCGUAAAGCGCGCGUAGGUGGCUUGAUAAGCCGGUUGUGAAAGCCCCGGGCUCAACCUGGGAACGGCAUCCGGAACUGUCAAGCUAGAGUGCAGGAGAGGAAGGUAGAAUUCCCGGUGUAGCGGUGAAAUGCGUAGAGAUCGGGAGGAAUACCAGUGGCGAAGGCGGCCUCCUGGACUGACACUGACACUGAGGUGCGAAAGCGUGGGUAGCAAACAGGAUUAGAUACCCCUGUAGUC